rnacentral:rRNA from 1 species
GUAGGGAAUAUUGGACAAUGGGCGAAAGCCUGAUCCAGCCAUGCCGCGUGAUAGAUGAAGGCCCUCUGGGUUGUAAAUAUCUUUUAUCUGGGAAGAAACUCCUCUAUUCUUAGAGGCCUGACGGUACCAGAGGAAUAAGCACCGGCUAACUCCGUGCCAGCAGCCGCGGUAAUACGGAGGGUGCAAGCGUUAUCCGGAUUCACUGGGUUUAACGGGUGCGUAGGCGGGUUGAUAAGUCAGUGGUGAAAGCUCCGGGCUUAACUUGGAAACUGCCAUUGAUACUGUCAAUCUUGAAUGUCGUAGAGGUAAGCGGAAUGUUGCAUGUAGCGGUGAAAUGCUUAGAUAUGUUACAGAACACCAAUUGCGAAGGCAGCUUACUAUGCGAUAAUUGACGCUGAGGCACGAAAGCGUGGGGAGCAAACAGGAUUAGAUACCCCAGUAGUCC